rnacentral:rRNA from 1 species
GAUGAACGCUGGCGGCGUGCUUAACACAUGCAAGUCGAACGAAGCACUUUAUUUGAUUUCCUUCGGGACUGAUUAUUUUGUGACUGAGUGGCGGACGGGUGAGUAACGCGUGGGUAACCUGCCUUGUACAGGGGGAUAACAGUUGGAAACGGCUGCUAAUACCGCAUAAGCGCACAGCAUCGCAUGAUGCAGUGUGAAAAACUCCGGUGGUAUAAGAUGGACCCGCGUUGGAUUAGCUAGUUGGUGAGGUAACGGCCCACCAAGGCGACGAUCCAUAGCCGACCUGAGAGGGUGACCGGCCACAUUGGGACUGAGACACGGCCCAAACUCCUACGGGAGGCAGCAGUGGGGAAUAUUGCACAAUGGGCGAAAGCCUGAUGCAGCGACGCCGCGUGAGCGAAGAAGAAUUUCGGUAUGUAAAGCUCUAUCAGCAGGGAAGAUAAUGACGGUACCUGACGAAGAAGCACCGGCUAAAUACGUG